GACGAACGCUGGCGGCGUGCUUAACACAUGCAAGUCGAGCGGAGCGGCGAACGGGUGAGUAACGCGUGAGUAACUGCCCCCCUCUCUGGGAUAACAGUUGGAAACGGCUGCUAAUACCGGAUAGUGGGGGAUGAUUCGCGUCCUAUCAGCUUGUUGGUGAGGUAGUGGCCUACCAAGGCGACGACGGGUAGCCGGCCUGCGAGGGCGCCCGGCCACAUAGGGCAGAGAUACAGCCCAAAUUCCUACGGGAGGCAGCAGAGGGGAAUAUAGCACAAUGGGGGAAACCCUGAUGCAGGAUGCCGCGUGCGAAAUGACGGCCUUCGGGUUGUAAACCGCUUUCAGCCAUGACGCGGUAGUGGCAGAAGAAGCAACGGCUAACUACGUGCCAGCCGCCGCGGUAAUAC
rnacentral:rRNA from 1 species